AUGCGUUCUGCAAAAAGUCGAGAUAUCUUUGCCCGGACACCGGUCCCUUGAAGUAAUAUGGCCCUACAAGAUAUCCGUUGACGAUCCCACACCAAACAUUUAAUUUCCACCGAUCGUAAGAGAACAGGUCUAAACUCCAGUC
rnacentral:lncRNA from 1 species